rnacentral:rRNA from 1 species
CCUACGGGAGGCAGCAGUGGGGGAUAUUGCACAAUGGGGGGAACCCUGAUGCAGCGACGCCGCGUGAGUGAAGAAGUAUUUCGGUAUGUAAAGCUCUGUCAGCAGGGAAGCAGAAAGACGGUACCUGACCAAGAAGCCCCGGCUAACUACGUUCCAGCAGCCUCGGUCAUACGUAGGGGGCAAGCUUUAUCCGGUUUUACUGGGUGUAAAGGGAGCUGAAACGGCAGGGCAAGUCUGGAGGGAAAGGCAGGGGGCCAACCCCUGGACUGCUCUGGAAACUGUCCGGCUGGAGUGCAGGAGAGGUAAGUGGAAUGCCUAGUGUAGCGGUGAAAUGCGUAGAUAUCGGGAGGAACAUCAGUGGCGAAGGCGACUAUCUGGCACAUAACUGACGCUGAGGAGCGAAAGCGUGGGUAGCAAACAGGAUUAGAUACCCUAGUAGUC